GUGAUGUACUUUGUAAUCUUUAUAUAUAUAUAUAUAUAUAUAUAUAUAUAUAAACAGAGUACAAAUUAACAAUAAUAAUGAAAUACAAAUUUGCCCAUCAAAUUAAUGGCCGUUGUUCCUCCUUUGAGUACUGUGAAAAUCAUUACAAAAGAAGAGGAUCGUGAUAUUACUUGGGAAUUUCUGUAAAGCAUCUGUGGUAGAACCAUCAAUCUUCGUACCCCACAUCAUGCACAU